rnacentral:rRNA from 1 species
GACGAACGCUGGCGGCGUGCUUAACACAUGCAAGUCGAACGAAGAGCGAUGGAAGCUUGCUUCUAUCAAUCUUAGUGGCGAACGGGUGAGUAACGCGUAAUCAACCUGCCCUUCAGAGGGGGACAACAGUUGGAAACGACUGCUAAUACCGCAUACGAUCUGACCUCGGCAUCGAGGAUAGAUGAAAGGUGGCCUCUACAUGUAAGCUAUCACUGAAGGAGGGGAUUGCGUCUGAUUAGCUAGUUGGAGGGGUAACGGCCCACCAAGGCGAUGAUCAGUAGCCGGUCUGAGAGGAUGGACGGCCACAUUGGGACUGAGACACGGCCCAGACUCCUACGGGAGGCAGCAGUGGGGAAUCUUCCGCAAUGGACGAAAGUCUGACGGAGCAACGCCGCGUGAGUGAUGACGGCCUUCGGGUUGUAAAGCUCUGUUAAUCGGGACGAAAGGCCUUUUUGCGAAUAGUGAGAAGGAUUGACGGUACCGGAAUAGAAAGCCACGGCUAACUACGUG